rnacentral:lncRNA from 1 species
CUUUGGCAGGCUCAGCCCAGCUGCUCCCUGCCUGUGGCCAGGAACAGGGUGCAACAUCUGGACCUUGGGAGAAGCUUCUGGAACAUGGAAAAGGCUUAAUCUGGAACCAGCAGCUGCUGGGGGUCUCAGGGCCCUUAGAAAAACAGAGCAGACUUGGCCUGUGGUGGGAAAAAACAGGAAUGGGCACGAGGGGAUGCAAAAUUAAACUCGGUUGUUGCGUAUUGACCUCCACUUGAAGAAUGCCAGAUCCAAUUAACAACGGUUAAUGAGGCUCAGGGAAGGCAGGAGUGACCUUCCCAAGGACCAGGUGAACUCUCAGAGAUGUGAAUUUGCACAGAGCACAAUAAAUGCAGGAAUACCAAGGCAUGGAGCGAGGAAUUCAGCAAACCCUCUCGGAAAAACCUCUGCUGAAAUCUGCUCCAGAGCAAAGCUGCUCGGGAGACCUUGGAAAUUCAUUUGUGAAGAUCAGGUGAGCCCUGAGUGUGUUCCAAGGGUUUAAAAUGACUCUCAUUAACUCCUUAAAUGAGGAAGAGUUCCUGCAGUUUCAAUAACGUGCCCAGAGGAGCAGUAAGAAGUGAGAUUUAAGGAAACUUGAAUCAAAUCUGACUUUCAUUUCAACUUGCAGAUGAUCAGGGAGGCAGCAGUGCUCUGUGCUUCAGGAUGAGGAGGGCGGUAAGAAAAUCCAAAGCGCCCCAGAAAUCCCAGUUUAAAAGCUGCUGUCUCAGGGAGGAUAAAACCCAUUUGUCUCCCACUGAGAGCAGGACUUUGCAAGGACCUGAAAUGAGGGAUGAGGGACGAGGUUUGGGCUGCUGAACUCCAGCCAUGAUCAGAACCAUGGGCUCCUUCAGCCUGGAAAAGCCCUCUGGGAUCAUCUCAGCCCAGCAGCACCAGCAGGGAUCGCAGCCGCUCCACGGGCGGGGAGGGCUCGGAGCCAGCGCUGCAGGAACCGGGGGAUGCUCAGCUGGGAGAUCCCAGGGAAAGGCUUUCCCAGGAUUUGGGAUGUUGGAGCAAACAGCUCUGGGCUCCUGGCUGGGCCUGGCUGAUGAGCCCCAGCACGGAAUGAGCGAGAGGGGAAGAACAAAAGGCUCCUUUGAUGUGCUCACCCGCACCAUGUUCAGCACAAAAUGCAAAUGUUCCCUCACGCUGGAGAACACUUAUCAAUAUUAAGGCAUACACGGAGCAGAAGAAAGGAGGAAGAACAAAAUACAACACUUAACAAGAGGGUAAUUUAGCCUGUUGGCAAGUGCUUCAAGCCGAGUUCAUGAAAAAUUACUCAGACAAUUGUUUUGUGGGGGUUCUGGGCCGUUCUGCAUAAAUCAUGAUAUGGAUUCCAUGGGAGGCCAGAGCUUGAUCAGGUGUGAGAGGG